GUGGGGAAUAUUGGGCAAUGGGCGCAAGCCUGACCCAGCAACGCCGCGUGAAGGAAGAAGGCUUUCGGGUUGUAAACUUCUUUUACCAGGGACGAAACAAAUGACGGUACCUGGUGAAUAAGCCACGGCUAACUACGUGCCAGCAGCCGCGGUAAUACGUAGGUGGCGAGCGUUAUCCGGAUUUAUUGGGUGUAAAGGGCGUGUAGGCGGGACAGCAAGUCAGAUGUGAAAACCAGAGGCUCAACCUCUGGCCUGCAUUUGAAACUGUUGUUCUUGGGUGUCGGAGAGGUAAUCGGAAUUCCGUGUGUAGCGGUGAAAUGCGUAGAUAUACGGAGGAACACCAGUGGCGAAGGCGGAUUACUGGACGAUAACUGACGCUGAGGCGCGAAAGCGUGGGGAGCAAACAGGAUUAGAAACCCCUGUAGUCC
rnacentral:rRNA from 1 species